UGAGUUUUGGAGUAAUUGAUUUUAGCUGCUAACUCAAGUAGUCCUGCCAUCCUGAUGCUUUUACACUGGCCAGCUGCCUUUGACACAGUGGACCAUGCGAUUCUGCUCCAUCAUCUUGAGCAGUGUGUGGGCAUUACAGGCUCUGCUCUCACCUGGUUUAGUUCUUACCUCACAGAGCGGAGCUAUUCUGUGCAGCUGGGCCACUUUUCUUCAGAUGUGGCCCCACUGACCUGUGGAGUCCCUCAAGGCUCCAUUCUAGGUCCUAUUCUUUUCCUUUUGUACA